rnacentral:rRNA from 1 species
UACGGAGGAUGCGAGCGUUAUCCGGAUUUAUUGGGUUUAAAGGGUGCGUAGGCGGACGCUUAAGUCAGCGGUAAAAUUGCGGGGCUCAACCUCGUCGAGCCAUUGAAACUGGGUGCCUUGAGUGGGCGAGAAGUACGCGGAAUGCGUGGUGUAGCGGUGAAAUGCAUAGAUAUCACGCAGAACUCCGAUUGCGAAGGCAGCGUACCGGCGCCCAACUGACGCUGAAGCACGAAGGCGUGGGUAUCGAACAGG